AGGACAAAACCAACAACCGUGAUCAGUUUUACACAUUUAGCAUUCUAGGCAGUGCCAGUGACCACGCGAGCCAAUGCCGUCUGCAGGCUGCAAGCUGCCCUAAACCCCUAUGAUCUGAAGUUAGCGAAAAGCUAGGCAGGCAACUGGAACGCAGAAGUCACUGCUGAUGAAAUGCUCUGAAAAGCCUCGCGUCAGGAAAAUCGUUGUUACACACGAGGCAACAUGCGGACGCUGCAGUCAGAAAACCGCCAUGCUGAGAUCAAGCAGCGGCUGUCUGGUAUGGAGAGACACGCUAUUAAAAACAGAGUGUAAAUUUUAAAGGGGUAGUGACACCCAGGCUAGAGGCAGGGGACCCGUGACUGUCGCUGAGGCCUCAGUGUGGGAGACUAAAGCGGGAAUUAGCGGGUCAGCAUUAAUCCACAAGCUCAGAGAGGGGGCUGCUUUUGGGAUGAUUUUAAAAAGGAAAACAACUACAAAAACAAAAGAGAGACCACCAAAAGGCAGGGGAAGAGAGGAGAUGGGCAGAUAGUCUUAAGGAUGAAAGAGCAGAGUGUCAGAUUGCAGGCAGGGAGGUGGAUGCCUGCGGUGAAAAGCCACAUGCAGUGCGGUGCAGUGCCCGUUUUAUUCUGCACGAAUCGCACUGCAUGACACUCAAACGCUACACACACACAUGGCAUUAUUAUUCUACGUGCUCCGCUUCUCGUAAGAGCAGGAAAUAUUUCGGGAGGCGAACAUUAACCGGGAAAAUAAAUGAAAGUGGUGAAAAGGCCAGGACGGAAUUCCUUCGUGGAUCAGUGUGAGGCCUGCACGCUCUGAGCCAAAGCGCGGAGUUUCCACCGUUACUGGCUGAGUCCAGCUGGUCUGCAGCCAGCGAGUGGUGCUGGAGCCUUUGGAUCACACCAGCAUGCCGUGAGAUGGGGGGCCUUCAGCGUGGGGGGGGGGAGGACUGUGAAAUGGUAGGUCACGCUUACCGUCUAAUCCGUUAUGUGGCCCCCUACCCUACCCACCCCCACACAGUCCUUUUCUUUUUUUAUCCUGACGACUGAGAUGCUUAAUGAGCACCGGACCCGCACGCACACACGGAUGCACGCACACGCAGCACCAUUUGGAUCCUGUGCAUGCAUCUCCUCCAGCCUUUCCUGCAGCAGCCAGCAUAGCGCAUUUGCUGAAGGAUUUUUGUAGCUUUAUAGCCUUUUAACUAGAGCCCGACUGCGCUGUGCUGUACGUCUCUCUUGCACUGGACAGAGCGGUCUCUUAUCAACGCUAACACAGAAACUAGCAUUGCGACUGGUCCGACCUGCGGCCCAUAAAUCCACAGGUUUAAUGAACACCCCUGUAUUUGUCCAACCAACCGAUCUGGGGGUCAGAGCAGUGAAACAUACCCCCAUUUAAAACAUAUGGGCGCCCCUCCCCCUCAUUGCUGUCACGCAACCACUGCCCUGCCUGUUGCCCUGGGUCGGAUUUUACUGCAGCCAGUGGCCCACAUCGACCCCCCCAACGAAUAACUUGGAAAUAAUUGACUUGAAGCAGAGUUGAAAUGGGGGUAAGGCCUGAAGGACAUAAAGGGGGAGAAAAUUCCCGUCUGGGCGUCCCCCGUUGUAAUUCCUUCUUUGUGUAGGAAGGGAAAAUGUUCAAAGUGUCAUCACUGAUCAGCGACAGCGCUGUUGUAUCCUCCUGCUUAUCAGUCUUACCCAUAAAUAAAUGUUCUGCACACAUCAACACCCCACCCCUCCUGUGGAACAAAUCAAGGGACCUUUUUUUCUUUUUGCUGUUAAUUCUAUUAGACUAAUCAGAUUUAUCCCAGAUGCAUGUGCUUUCAGGAACAGGGAAUCUGAACUCCACAGGUCACAGGAGCAAUUUCUGUUUCACUGGGCCAAGGCUGACCCACCUGAGGAGUGGUGCCCCCCCCCAUCUGCCACUCUGGUCUGCAAUGCAAACAUCACACAAGUGCCCUCAAGGUACCAGUCAGAUGAAACCACUGACAAUGACCAGAAGUGGAGUAUUAAGAAGCGAGGUAGGUGAUUGAAACCUGCCCCCCUCCCUCAGUGUAAUGAUUCAAGUCACAUUCCCUGCGUUUUGGACUAUUUAAAGGAAACGGGGGUUCAUCAGUUGCAGACCCUGAUCUGCACUUAUAACAGCUAAACAUCGAUCCCUGGAGUCACAAAGCGCUUCUUGAAGGAGCUCUUCAAAAGGCAGGGGGGAAAUUUGGGGCAGCCAGAAAUGGAACACUGUUUACAUGAUGCUUGAGCAAGCAAUGUCCCCAAGAGGCCAGCAGGGGGGGCGACCAUAGACACGACAUCCAAAGUGGGUGGGGGUGGGCUUUUCACAAACGAGGCAUCAGCGAUACUUCAGAGGUCAAUGCCGGACUGCUUCCUGGCCAACAUCCAGACCACUACUGUACAAUUAUGGUUUCAUACAGCAGGUUGGAAGCAAUUACUAUUCGAAUUAUAUCUCAAAUUUAAUUAUUUCUCCUUACACCCUCCAGCCUCAGGGAAAUGUAUCUGCUCGGCGUGCUAAGCUUUAUUCUGGCGGAUUCCAGUAGCAAUGGAAUCAAGCUGAAUGUAGGGAACACAGAUCAAAGCCAAGGCUACAGAUGGCGUCUGAGAGCCGAGGCUGGCAGCAAGAUUGGCAUACCUGACAAGUCACCGCCAAAGUGUGGCAGAGCUGUGUCUUCCCCGUGCGAAACUCGCCGAACAUCUCUGUGAUGGAGCCCGUCUCGAUCCCACCUGAGUAGAACACGCACCUUAGCAGAGAUUCCUGGGCAGCCCUAAACGUGGUUGUGGAAAGGGGGAUUCUGGGAUGGAAGUCACGAUCAAGGAGUGACGAACCAGGCAGAGCGUCGAAGAGCUGACAGGAGAGCUGUGCGACGUGCAGACUCCCCUCUAAGCUUCCGGGGACCGAAUCCCUAUGCAACCUCUCUGAGAUGACAUCCUGACAUGGCAUGCCAAGCUGAGUUUUAUAUAUAUAAAAAUCCAGACUGCACGGAAGAACACAAAUUACAAGAUGUGUCAUCACUCAGAGAUCCACAUCAAUGCCUGCGGGAAAGGAUGACUUGUGCCAUUGUCCUGUCACACGCAAAAAUCUCAAUCCGACAUCAGCAGAUGGUUAACAUGAUGGCAAAUGAGAAAGCGAGGCGUUUCACAGAAAACAGCUGACCAGACGGGUUUGACUGUGAGACCUCCUGGCUUUCUGGGCGGCCAUGUGAGCAGAGGGAUCUGAUUCCCAUAUUCACCUUGCAGCAGCUUGUCCAGCUCUUUGGAGCCUGUGG